rnacentral:lncRNA from 1 species
GCCAUUUUUAAUUUACAUAUUUUCUCAUAAGCUUCCGUCAAAUCCAAAGUUGACAUUUUGUAACUAAGGAGCCGCCAUGCUGACUUGCUGAAAUGAGUAAAUAUGCGAAUAAUGCAAUAGAAUAGAAAAUAAAACAAAACCUAUGAACCUGAAAAAUCAGUUUUAAUACAAUAUCAUAUGAAUUCCGAUGGUUCACGUAACAGAAAACUUUCAACUUUAGCGGUUUCAUUUGUAUGACGUCAUGUUUUGAAAUGACUUAAAUGCGCCAAAAAGAUUAAAAGACUUUCGAGCUCUUGUGCAUUACUUCUUUUUAUUAUGCAUACGAAUUUGAAUAAAAGUUAUUUCGUCUUUUUUU